rnacentral:rRNA from 1 species
UACGUAGGGUGCGAGCGUUGUCCGGAAUUAUUGGGCGUAAAGAGCUCGUAGGCGGUGCGUCACGUCGGCCGUGAAAACCUGCAGCUUAACUGUGGGCGUGCGGUCGAUACGGGCAUCACUGGAGUUCGGCAGGGGAGACUGGAAUUCCUGGUGUAGCGGUGAAAUGCGCAGAUAUCAGGAGGAACACCGGUGGCGAAGGCGGGAUCCUGGGCCAGUACUGACGCUGAGGAGCGAAGGCGUGGGGAGCAAACAGG